CCUACGUGAGGCAGCAGUGAGGAAUAUUGGUCAAUGGGCGCGAGCCUGAACCAGCCAAGUCGCGUGAGUGAAGACGGUCCUAUGGAUUGUAAACCUCUUUUGUCGGGGAGCAAAAGACGCCACGCGUGGCGUUCCGAGAGUACCCGAAGAAAAAGCAUCGGCUAACUCCGUGCCAGCAGCCGCGGUAAUAAGGAGGAUGCGAGCAUUAUCCGGAUUUAUUGGGUUUAAAGGGUGCGCAGGCGGCAGAUCAAGUCAGCGGUAAAAUUGAGAGGCUCAACCUCUUAGAGCCGUUGAAACUGGUUGUCGUGAGUGAGUGAGAAGUAUGCGGAAUGCGUGGUGUAGCGGUGAAAUGCAUAGAUAUCACGCAGAACUACGAGUGCGAAGGCAGCAUACCGGCGCUCAACUGACGCUCAUGCACGAAAGUGUGGGUAUCGAACAGGAUUAGAUACCCUAGUAGUC
rnacentral:rRNA from 1 species